GCCUCAGUGGCGGAACUGGUAGACGCGCUCGACUCAAAAUCGAGUGCCGCAAGGCGUGGGGGUUCGAUUCCCUCCUGAGGUACCA
rnacentral:tRNA from 1 species